rnacentral:misc_RNA from 1 species
UUGAAUACUAUUGAGCGCUGUGCUGGCCUUUCGGGGCAUGUGCACGCGUUCUUUAUUAUUAUCUAUCUCUUGUGAACCUAGUGUGGGCUUUGGAGGAACAGUCGACCCUUUUGGGUCUUCUGGGAAUCUGAAGGUCAUUUUUAUAAACAUUUAAAAAGUUAACAGAAUGUCUUCUUUACUUGACGCAAGUCAGUAAUCAAACCUAUA